rnacentral:rRNA from 1 species
ACUACGAGGUGCAGCAGUGAGGAAUAUUGGUCAAUGGGCGUAAGCCUGAACCAGCCAAGUCGCGUGAGGGAUGAAGGUUCUAUGGAUCGUAAACCUCUUUUAUAAGGGAAUAAAGUGUGGGACGUGUCCUGUUUUGUAUGUACCUUAUGAAUAAGGAUCGGCUAACUCCGUGCCAGCAGCCGCGGUAAUACGGAGGAUCCGAGCGUUAUCCGGAUUUAUUGGGGUUAAAGGGUGCGUAGACGGCCUUUUAAGUCAGCGGUGAAAGUCUGUGGCUCAACCAUAGAAUUGCCGUUGAAACUGGGAGGCUUGAGUAUGUGUGAGGCAGGCGGAAGGCGUGGUGUAGCGGUGAAAUGCUUAGAUAUCACGCAGAACCCCGAUUGCGAAGGCAGCCUGCCAAGCCAUGACUGACGCUGAUGCACGAAAGCGUGGGGAUCAAACAGGAUUAGAUACCCGGGUAGUC